AAUGGAUUUGCAUAAGGCAGAAUAGUCUAGAAUUUAUGAGGAUUCAAGAUAGUUUAAGCUAAGAAUACAAAAAAGCUUUAUAAAUGAGGUUUAGAAAGUUAAGAGAUUCAAUUUUUGCACUUUUCUAUAAUCUUUUAUUCUGAAUCUGCAGCAGAUCAGCUGAGUGCUACUGAAAAUAGAAUAGUAAUCACAGCUCCUGCUCUGACCACCUUUUCUGAUUUGCUGUUCAUGCUAAAAAAAUGUGCAAGGCAGGCCUGUAAAUGAUCAUGGACCCAGACCUUUACUUGUGGCGCAGUGUAGAUGUAACCAUAUGGACUAGCAGAACAGGGGAAUGGAUCAAUUCUGAUUCCAUUUUGAUUAAAAAGAACUGAGUCAAAGCCAGACAAAAUUACCUCGCACCUGAAUAACCAAUUUAUUUGUGUUCAAUGGUGACUUGAUCUGUGGCAAGAUAGCAAAUAGAAAAUGGUCUGCCUUCUCUCAGAUGUUGUCAGCUGAAAUCAGGUAGAUAAGAGGGCAGUUCCCUUUGACCAGGAGUACCUGCAGGAGAAGCUUGGACAGAGCUCUGAGGAAGAAUGCAGAAGAACCACAGUCACUGAAAUUCCUGGUCUCCUUAGCAACACAGGCUGCAAAGAGCUCACCAGUCUGGUGUUCUGCUGCAUGCAUGAGCUUCCAAUUCAACUGGAAGAACUUUGGUUUAGGAUUCAGAACUUCCCUUUGACCACUUCAAAAUACUGGUGAGGGAGACUCUUCUUUUGCAUAUGGUCUCAUAAAAGCUAUAAUUUCAAUGUUUAUCCUUGAAAUAUAUAACCAAGAGGAGCUUCUGAGAAAAGAAAAUUUUCGUGGCAGAAGACUGAACAACUUAUUCUGUUCCCCUGCACCAUGACCAUAGAACAAAAUAUCUUAAUACUGCAACUAAAUUCUUUAACAUAGCUCCCCUUAAUAACUUAAAAGGAUGCAAAAAUGUAUACAAGAGUAAUACUGUGUCUUUCCCAAAGCUUCUAGAAACUAAUCAUUUUUCUUCUGUUAUGAGGCAGAAAUGUGAGAAAUCUUACUACAGACACACCCGUCUGUGUCACUGUUGUGA
rnacentral:lncRNA from 1 species